UAGGGUUCGGCAACUUCAAGCUUUAAUUAGUAAGUGAUUUUGAUUCGGUUUUUAAUAAUUUUUAUAUUUUUGAGAUCGUUGCUUCGAAUGCUAGUAAAUCCAUGCUUCAAUUUUCGGAAUUUAUGUUGAUUUUGUGUUUUGCCAUUGUUGAAAGUUUGAUGAUGAAAAAUAAAUAUGUAUUAAUAGAUUUUUUUAUGUUUUGGUUAAAUAAUGAUUCGGUUGAUGAAUUUGUUUUCGGUUGUGGCUUAAUUGGAUAAGCUAAGUGAUGAAUAAAUCAUUGCUUGUAUAAUUGGAUUUAUUGGUGCAUUUACGAAGACAAGAAUAUUCAUGAAUUAUAGUUGAUUUGUUAAUUAUUAAGUUAAGUUUAAGGUGUUUAGUUAAUAUGACUAUUUGGUUAUGAAAUUGGUAUAAAAUAUUUUUUAAUAUAAUUUGCUAGCCGAAUAGAUGAAAAACAAUUUGGUUUUGAAAAUGACAUUUUAGCAUGAUUCUUAGCAUGUGAACUUGACAUAUUUCUAUUCGGCAUUGGUACUUAGUAGAUGACUAUUAAUAGUUAAAUGAGUGGUGCAUGAAUUAUUUUUAAAUACAAUGGAGAUUCGGUCAUUUGGUAAUGCUUGUAUGUACUUGUAUAUUUUUGUCUAAUAAUCCGUGUGGAAUAACUUGACCAUUCAGUAAUGGUUGCUAAUAUUUCAUGUUUGGAUGUAUUAAUGUAUGUGCAUUAUAUGUGCUGAAUCAAGUUGUAAAUAAAUAUAUAUAUGUUACUGAUUGAAUUGAACUUUGGAGAAUUUGUUCCGAGUGUGAAAUAAAUUGGAGAAAUUGGCUACUAGGGCCUAAGGUAAAUUCGGUCUAACACGGGUUAGAUAAGAUUUUGUGUAUUUGGAAAUAGGGACUAAUUUGUGAAAAUGUGAAAUAUUAGGGGCUAAUGUGCAAAUUGCCCUUUUUAUGUGUUUUUGGGUGAAUUUGAGUAUAUGUGAGAUUAAAUAUGCAUGAUAUUUGAUGCAUAUCCGGGUUAAAUCCCGCAGGCUUCGUGCUGGUAUUAUAUCCGGGUUUUAUCCCGCAGGCUUUGUGCUGGUAUUAUAUCCGGAUUUUAUCCUGCAGGCUUCGUGCUGGUAUUAUAUCCGGGUUUUAUCCCGCAGGCUUAGUGCUGGUAUUAUAUCCGGGUUAAAUCCCGCAGGCUUAGUGCUGGUAUUAUAUUCGAGCUUAAAGUUCUGCAGGUUCUAUGCUGGUGAGCGGAUUCGGGUUUUAAACCUAGCAGGCUUAACGCCGGUGAUUCAAGUAAGGUUAUGAAUUCGAAAUUUCAAGGUAAACUACUAUUGAAUAUGUAUGAUACAUUAUGAUAGUCAGGUACGUAUUAUGUACUCACAUGUGAAUUGAUUUUUAAGGUGAAUUAUAGUAUCAAAGAACGAUAUAUGUGUGUGAAUGAUUACUAUAUCUACGAAUAAGAGCAUGACCUAUUCGGUCGAUGUCUAUCAUUAUAUGAAAGUAUGUGACCUAAAUUAAUUGUACGAGCUUCCAGAGAUAUCCGAGUAUCCUCUUUGUUUCCGAAUGGUUCAACUGGUACUCUGAGAAGUAAAUGAAUAUAUAAAUGUGCAUCCGAUUCAGGUAUAUUGCAAUGUUUAUGAAAUUGAGUAAUGAAAGUGAAUAUGAUUAUGAUUUAUGGAUAUAUAAUUCAGGUACGUGUGUUUCGAUUAUGAAAUUCAUAAAUGAAAGGUGAUUAUGUUUCAAGUGAUAAUAUGUGAAAUAUAUGACAUCAAAUAAUGUGAAUGUAUAAAUAAAUGGUGUGAUACAUAUAUGUUUGUUAUACGAAUUGUGGUCCUAUGUUUUGAGCAUGGGAAUUAUGAAAUGAGAAACAUGGUUUUGGGAAAUGAAAAGUAAUAUAUAUGUGUAAGAUAAUAUGUGAUUUAUAAGAAAAUGAAAUGUGAAUAUGUGCUCUAUAUAUAUGAAAUUGAAAUGUAGCCAAAUGGAUAAGUGUAAGAUGAUAUGUGAUUUAUAAGAAAAUGAAAUGUGAAUAUGUGCUCUAAAUAUAUAUGAAAUUGAAAUGUAGCCAAAUGGAUAAGUUAUAUAUGAAGUGGUUAGUGAACCAUUACAUGUUUUGGUUAUUCAUGUAAUGAUUAUGUGCAAACUUGAUUUAUAUGAUUGAGUUAACGGUUGUCUUUUGAAUGUGAAAACGUGAUAUAUAUAUUCAUUGAUAAAUAAGAUAAGAGAAGCUACUUAAUGUGGUUAUAUGAAUUUACGAGUACAAGAUUGUAUAAGUGAUUGAUGUUUGUUAAAUUUGGUUUAAUGAUAAUGAUUUGUAAAUAUCAUUGAAAUGAUUUAUUUGCUUAUGACUUACUAAGCUUUCUAAGCUUACUCUGUGUGUUUUUUCUAUGGUCAAAGAUUUUCGGAGACUUGCUCGGGAUAGAAGUCAUUGGAGACCACAUCACACUAUCUAGUUAUCACUUCGGUAAUUAAAAGCUUUAAGUUUUUGGUUAUGUGGCAUGUAUAGGCUAAAUUCAAUGUGGUUCAUUUUGAUUUGUAUAUGUAGCCAUGCGAGAAUGGCUUGUUAAUGAUGUUAAUGUUUGUGUAUAUUCAGGCAUGGUAUAAGC
rnacentral:lncRNA from 1 species